GCAAGUCGAACGGUAACAGGAUAGAUUGUUAUCGCUGACGAGUGGCGGACGGGUGAGUAAUACUUAGGGAUCUGCCUCUGUGUGGGGGAUAACUAUUGGAAACGAUAGCUAAUACCGCAUAAUGUCUACGGACCAAAGCGGGGUUCGGCUCGUGCGCAGAGAGGAACCUAAGCGAGAUUAGCUAGUUGGUGAGGUAAUGGCUCACCAAGGCGACGAUCCCUAGCUGGUCUGAGAGGAAGAUC
rnacentral:rRNA from 1 species